rnacentral:rRNA from 1 species
GUACACUCCUGCGGGAGGCAGCAGUGGGGAAUAUUGGACAAUGGGCGCAAGCCUGAUCCAGCCAUGCCGCGUGAGUGAUGAAGGCCCUAGGGUUGUAAAGCUCUUUCACCGGUGAAGAUAAUGACGGUAACCGGAGAAGAAGCCCCGGCUAACUUCGUGCCAGCAGCCGCGGUAAUACGAAGGGGGCUAGCGUUGUUCGGAUUUACUGGGCGUAAAGCGCACGUAGGCGGACUAUUAAGUCAGGGGUGAAAUCCCGGGGCUCAACCCCGGAACUGCCUUUGAUACUGGUAGUCUUGAGUUCGAGAGAGGUGAGUGGAAUUCCGAGUGUAGAGGUGAAAUUCGUAGAUAUUCGGAGGAACACCAGUGGCGAAGGCGGCUCACUGGCUCGAUACUGACGCUGAGGUGCGAAAGCGUGGGGAGCAAACAGGAUUAGAUACCCUAGUAGUCCCA